rnacentral:misc_RNA from 1 species
GAUGAAGAACGUAGCGAAAUGCGAUAAGUAAUGUGAAUUGCAGAAUUCAGUGAAUCAUCGAAUCUUUGAACGCACAUUGCGCCCGGUAGUAUUCUGCCGGGCAUGCCUGUUCGAGCGUCAUUUCAACCAUCAAGCCCCAGCGCUUGUGUUGGGGGCCUGCGGCUGCCGCAGCCCCCCAAAAGCAGUGGCGGGCUCGCUAUCACACCGAGUGCAGUAGUUCAUCUUCUCUCCGGUCUUGUGAGGCGGGUUCCGGCCGUGAAACACCCCACUACAUUCAAGGUUGACCUCGGAUCAGGUAGGAAUACCCGCUGAACUUAAGCAUAUCAUAAGCGGAGGA